UAUGUUAAUCAUUGAAGACACGAGUUAACUUAUGCAUGUAAUUAUAAGUUAACUUACAUCUUCUAGAUAGUAAGCUGCAGAUAGAGUUUAUAAUUGUUUUAGUAAAGUCGUACAAGUACGUGAGUAGUCUUAUUUUCAAUGUUCUUGCUUACCUACAAGAUGUAAAUCCCUACCCAUCCAAUAGUCCACUGUCGCUCAAUGAUAUCGAUGUACUUUUAUGCAUACAUUGAAUCUGCUUCCCUGAUCUGAUUGUCCUCUCUAUUAUAUAACACAAGAAGCCCAUCUAGGAUACCUCUCGCUGUCCAUAACCGAAGCACUUUGUACAACACCUUGAUAGCCUACACCAUUUUCUCGGUUUGUUGCUAGAAUAUUUGUCUUGUAACCAAGUCCAUAAUGCUCCCCUCAA
rnacentral:lncRNA from 1 species